GGUUCGAUUAUGGCUCGGAUUGAAUUGGCGGGAUGCUUUUACACAUGCAAGUCGAACGGCAGCACGGACUUCGGUCUGUGGCGAGUGGCGAACUGGGUGAGUACGUAUCGGAACGUGCCUAGUAGCGGGGAUAACUACGCGAAAGGUGUAGCUAAUACCGUACACGCCCUUCGGGGGAAAGCGGGGACCUUUCGCUUCUUCGCACCAUUAGAGCGCCGACACGGAUUAGCCAGUUGGUGGGCAACGGCUCACCACAGUGACGAUCCAGGCUGGUUUGAGAGGACGACCAGCCACACUGGGACCGAGACACGGCCCAGACUUUUACGGGAGGCAGCAGUGGGGGGAAUUUUGGACAAUGGGGAAACCCUGAUCCAGCCAUCCUGGCGUGGGUGGUGAUGAAGGCAGCCUGGUUGUAAAGCACUUUUGGCAGAAAGAAACGGCACGAUAAUACCCCGUGCAACCACGGUACCUGCAGAAUAAGCACCGGCUAACUACGCCAGCAGCCGCGGUAAAUAGGUGCAAGCGUUAAUCGGAAUUUAUUGGCGUAGCGUGCGCAGGCGGUUCGGAAAGAAAGAUGUGAAAUCCCAGAGCUUAACUGAACUCGCAUUUUUAACUACCGAGCUAGAGUGUCAGAGGGAGGUGAAUUCCGCGUAGCAGGAAUGCGUGGAUAUGCGGAGGAACACUGAUGGCGAAGGCAGCCUCCUGGGAUAACACUGACGCUCAUGCACGAAAGCGUGGGGAGCAAACAUUCCAGGAUUAGAUACCCCGGUAGUCCACGCCCUAAACGAUGUCAACUAGCUGUUGGGGCCUUCGGGCCUUGGGAAGGCAGCUAACGCGAAGUUGACCGCCUGGGGAGGCCGGUCGCAAGAUUAAACUCAAAGGAAUUGACGGGGACCCGCACAAGCGGUGGAUGAUGGGAUUAAUUCGAUGCAACGCGAAAACCUUACCUACCCUUGACAUGUCUGAAUCCUGAAGAGAUUUGGGAGUGCUCGCAAGAGAACCGGAACACAGGUGCUGCAUGGCUGUCGUCAGCUCGUGUCGUGAGAUGUUAGGUUAAGUCCCGCAACGAGUUGCAACCCUUGUCAUUAGUUGCUGCUGAAAGGGCACUCUAAUGAGACUGCCGGUGACAAACCGAGGAAGGUGGGGAUGACGUCAAGUCCUCAUGGCCCUUGCGGUAGGGCUUCACACGUCAUACAAUGGUCGGGACAGAGGUCGCCAACUCCGCGAGGAGCCAAUCCCAGAAACCCGAUCGUAGUCCGAUCGCAGUCUGCAACUCGACUGCGUGAAGUCGGAAUCGCUAGUAAUCGCGGAUCAGUAUGUCGCGGUGAAUACGUUCCCGUGGUUCGAAGCACACCGCCCGUCACACCAUGGGAGUGGUUCACCAGAAGCAGUUGGCCUAACCGUAAGGAGGGCGAUUACCAUUGGUGAGAUUCAUGACUGGGGUGAAGUCGUAACAAGGUAAAUUUC
rnacentral:rRNA from 1 species